AGCGGAGGAAAAGAAACUAACAAGGAUUCCCCUAGUAGCGGCGAGCGAAGCGGGAAGAGCUCAAAUUUAUAAUCUGGCACCUUCGGUGUCCGAGUUGUAAUCUCUAGAAGUGUUUUCCGCGUUGGACCGCACACAAGUCUGUUGGAAUACAGCGGCAUAGUGGUGAAACCCCCGUAUAUGGUGCGGACGCCCAGCGCUUUGUGAUACACUUUCAAUGAGUCGAGUUGUUUGGGAAUGCAGCUCAAAUUGGGUGGUAAAUUCCAUCUAAAGCUAAAUAUUGGCGAGAGACCGAUAGCGAACAAGUACCGUGAGGGAAAGAUGAAAAGCACUUUGGAAAGAGAGUUAACAGUACGUGAAAUUGUUGGAAGGGAAACGCUUGAAGUCAGACUUGCUUGCCGGAGCUUGCUUCGGUUUGCAGGCCAGCAUCAGUUUUCCGGGGUGGAUAAUAACGGUUUGAAGGUAGCAGUCUCGGCUGUGUUAUAGCUUUCCGUUGGAUACAUCCUGGGGGACUGAGGAACGCAGCGUGCUUUUUGCGAAAGACUCGUCUUUUUCACGCUUAGGAUGCGGUGAAUGGCU
rnacentral:rRNA from 1 species